UUUCCUUCGGGGGGGCGCAGUAGGGAAUCCCKCAGGACGAAAGUCUGAACGGAAGCAACGCCGCGUGAGUGAUGAAGGCUUUCGGGUCGUAAAACUCUGUUGUUAGGGAAGAACAAGUACGAGAGUAACUGCUCGUACCUUGACGGUACCUAACCAGAAAGCCACGGCUAACUACGUGCCAGCAGCCGCGGUAAUACGUAGGUGGCAAGCGUUAUCCGGAAUUAUUGGGCGUAAAGCGCGCGCAGGCGGUUUCUUAAGUCUGAUGUGAAAGCCCACGGCUCAACCGUGGAGGGUCAUUGGAAACUGGGGAACUUGAGUGCAGAAGAGAAAAGCGGAAUUCCACGUGUAGCGGUGAAAUGCGUAGAGAUGUGGAGGAACACCCAGUGGCGAAGGCGGCUUUUUGGUCUGUAACUGACGCUGAGGCSSGAAAGCGGCCUKGGGAGCAAACAGGAUUAGAUACCCGGGAAGUCAA
rnacentral:rRNA from 1 species